ACGCUGACAGAUUUCUUCAUGUUACGACCUUAGAAGGUCAUCAUUCAGAAAUAUGGAGUCUUGCAAUCAGCCAUGACGGCGAGUUUGUUAUCAGUGGGUCACAUGAUAAAUCAUUAAGACUUUGGGAACGAACGGACGAACCGUUGUUUGUC